UUCCCUUUGCUCUAUAAGGUCCGCUGCUUUUGUGGAGCAAUGGGUAACUAUGCUUUGAAGGUGGCUGUUGUCUAUGUGUGCGGAGGGUCCCUGGUUUGAGCCCAGGUAGGGGCGAGGAGAGGGACGGAAGCAAAACUGUUACACGGACACCAUUUUAAUCCUCUUUAGAGUGAGCUGAUCAAGGGGUCGAAAAUCUAGAUAUUGCCAGAUGUUCACGGUCCGAGGAACAGGCUGUGGAAGCUUAUUGCUGGAAAAAGUGUCCAUAACCAGAGGUUAUGUCAGCUGUUUUGGUGAACCCCUCCCGCAUCUGAACUUGCUGACACAUAGGGCACAGCAUGAUCAUAGGUAUGUUUUGAUGUGAGAGAGGAAGCCAGUUCCGCCAUCGCCACCUUACCCACUCUUAAGAUAACCUUAUGGCCAACUGGGGGCCCAAGGCUGGUUAGGAGACACCGCAAUUGUGAUGAACUGAGAGAAUAUUAGGGUAGCGCUGUAAUUCAAUUAAUCAUAUGCUGUCUGCCGCUUACCUAUUUCCCUUUCUGUCUUCUACACCUCUCUCCCCACCUUGUCUUUCUUCCUUAUUUUAUAAUGCACACCAUAUGUGCAUUGAAGUACAGAUUGAACUUGUAUUUAUAAACAAUUGUUGGAACAAUUACUUCUGUCAUGCAGAAAGUAGAAACCUACCAAAACUAUAGUUUGUUAACAAGAAAUUUGUGGAGUGGUUGAAAAACAAGUUUUAAUGACUCCAACCUAAGUGUAUGUAAACUUCCGACUUCAACUGUAAAUUACUUCCAGACUAGAGAAAGUUAUUUUUCUCACUAUAUGUUUAUUGCUGUAUGUUUAAAAAGCUUAUCCACGCAUGACUUGCUGAUGUGGUAUGAGGCCACACACUGGACACAUCUGUAACGAAAUUCGUCUUCCUCUGACGAGGAGUAUGAAGGAUCGGACCAAUAUGCAGUGUGGUACGUGUCCAAGUUGAUAAUUUAUUAACAUUGAACACCAAAAACAAAAUAACAAGUAGAACGAACGAAAACGAAACAGUUCUGUCUGGUAAUUACACAGAGACAGAAACAAUCACCCACAACUAAAAAGGGUGAAAACAGGCUACCUAAGUAUGAUUCUCAAUCAGAGACAACGAACGACACCUGCCUCUGAUUGAGAACCAUACCAGGCCAAACACAUAAACACAACAUAGAAAAAAGAACAUAGACUACCCACCCCAACUCACGCCCUGACCAAACUAACACAAAGAUAUAAAUAAAGGAACUAAGGUCAGAACAUGACAACAUCUGCUGGUAAUCAUGUUGGCAAAUUGAUAAAGUGAGAUGUAUAACCUUCUGAAGUAUCACUAGGGGACAGGCUGAGUGGCCGCGCAUCUUCCUCAGCUCUACCUCUCCUGUCAGUUAUGAUAUGAACUAGCAAUGAAUGUAUUUAGACAUGUAUAGAGGCUACAAUACCAUGCUCUGAGACACCAUGCCAGAUAUAUUCACCAGGCAACAGGGUGUGGAAGAAGGGUUUAUUUGACAAACAUAUGUGACCGACCACGUUGAUUCGGUCUUAUAGAGCAACAUUUUGUUUUUUAAAUAUCGGAUAAAAGCAGACAUAGAGCUACACAAUGGUACAGUCGAAGUCGGAAGUUUACAUGCACUUAGGUUGGAGUCAUUAAAACUCGUUUUUCAACCACUCCACAAAUUUCUUGUUAACAAACUAUAGUUUUGGCAAGUUGGUUAGGACAUCUACUUUGUGCAUGACACAAGUCAUUUUUCCAACAAUUGUUUACAGACAGAUUAUUUCACUUAUAAUUCACUGUAUCACAAUUCCAGUGGGUCAGACGUUUACAAACACUUAGUUGACUGUGCCUUUAAAUAGCUUGGAAAAUUCCAGAAAAUUAUGUCAUGUCUUUAGAAGCUUCUGAUAUGCUAAUUGAAAUCAUUUGAGUCAAUUGGAGGUGUACCUGUGGAUGUAAUUCAAGGCCAACCUUCAAACUGAGUGCCUCUUUGCUUGACAUCAUGGGAAAAUGAAAAGAAAUCAGCCAAGACCUCAGAAAAAAUUGUAGACCUCCACAUGUCUGGUUCAGUGCAAAUCUAUCCCAGAACAACAGCAAAGAACCUUGUGAAGAUGCUGGAGGAAACAGGUACAAAAGUAUCUAUAUCCAUAGUAAUACGAGUCCUAUAUCGACACAACCUGAACAGCCGCUCAGCAAGGAAGAAGUCAUUGCUCCAUAACCGCCAUAAAAAAGCCAGACUACGGUUUUCAACUGCACAUGAGGAUAAAGAUGGUACUUUUUGGAGAAAUGUCCUCUGGUCUGAUGAAACAAAAUGUUUACUGUUUGGCCAUAAUAACAAUUGUUAUGUUUGGAGGAAAAAGGGGGAAGCUUGCAAGCUGAAGAACACCAUCCCAAUCGUGAAGCAUGGGGGUGGCAGCAUCAUGUUGUGGGGGUGCUUUGCUGCAAGAGGGACUGGAGCAAUUCACAAAAUAGAUGGCAUCAUGAGGCAGGAAAAUUAUGUGGAUAUAUUGAAGCAACAUCUCAAGACAUUAUUCAGGAAGUUAAAGCUUGGUCGCAAAUGGGUCUUCCAAAUGGACAAUGACCCCAAUCAUACUUCCAAAGUUGAGGCACAAUGGCUUAAGGACAACAAAGUCAAGGUAUUGAAGUUGCCAUCACAAAGCCCUGACCUCAAUCCUAUAGAAAAUGUGUGGGCAGAACUGAAAAAGUGUGUGCGAGCAUGGAGGCCUUACAAACCUGACUCAGUUACACCAGCUCUGUCAGGAGGAAUGGUUCAAAAUUCAACCAACUUAUUGUGGGAAGCUUGUGGAAGGCUACCCAAAACAUUUGACCCAAGUUAAACAAUUUAAAGGCAAUGCUACCAAAUACCAAUUGAGUGUAUGUAAACUUCUGACCCACUGGGAAUGUGAUGAAAUAAAUAAAAUCUCAAAUAAAUCAUUUCACAUUCUUAAAAUAAAGUGGUGAUCCUAACUGACCUACGACCGGGAACUUUUACUAGGAUUAAAUGUCAGGAAUUGUGAAAAACUGAGUUGAAAUGUAUUUACUUCCGACUUCAACUGUAUAUCGUACACUGCAUUUGAGGAACAACGGGAAAGUAAUUCUGAUUUGAAAGUUCACAAACUUGUAAUCUCAGUUUUGAGAAAAUGCCCUUUCAAUGUUUUGGUACCUACUGGAGAGCUCUUCUUUGUCUACACCCAUUCAGCAUUAUUCACACUCUCUUAAGCUUUGGCCCCACCCAUCUCUUUAAGGGUUUAUCCGAGCGUUCUGUCCUAACAACAACAGUCAAGCACCCAAGCUAACUGGCUAACGUUGGCUAUCUUGCUAGCUACUUCCAGACACAAAUGAGAGAACAGCUCACUGACCAUUUAACUCACCCUAACAGAGCUGGUUAGGCUGUUUUGAUG